UACGGAGGGAGCUAGCGUUAUUCGGAAUUACUGGGCGUAAAGCGCACGUAGGCGGCUUUGUAAGUUAGAGGUGAAAGCCUGGAGCUCAACUCCAGAAUAGCCUUUAAGACUGCAUCGCUUGAAUCCAGGAGAGGUGAGUGGAAUUCCGAGUGUAGAGGUGAAAUUCGUAGAUAUUCGGAAGAACACCAGUGGCGAAGGCGGCUCACUGGACUGGUAUUGACGCUGAGGUGCGAAAGCGUGGGGAGCAAACAGG
rnacentral:rRNA from 1 species